ensembl:lincRNA
AACCCUUAGACAGGUAUGGCUUAACCAAAUGACUUGAGCAUCUAUCAAGGAAAUCAGCAGCAUAAUAUGAGACAUAUUGCAGUUAUAUAAGUACUAAAUCUUCAUUAGGCCAGGGGAAAAUUCUAGCUUUGAUAAAUGUACCUGAAAGGAGUAAUUUAGGGGAGCAGAAAUAGUACAGUGAGGAGAGAGCAUGUGCUUUCCACGUGGAGCCCUGUGUUCACUCCCAAUAAUGCCAAAGAAAAAGUGUCAACAAGCACAAUGAGAAAAAUCUUACCUACCAAAUCAUCUACUUUUUCUAACUUUUAAAAUUGUGAGUACUCUUUCAAAGGUUAUGUGACUUUUUUAACAGAUCUGUGCAAAUAAUUAUUUUGAAAUCAAUAUUUUAGGAUUGAAUUGGAGUAUUUACGCCUAAAAGAAAAUGUGAAAAGCCUCGAAAUGGAGAUUUUGAGCCUGAAAAAGAAAAUGAAGAAACCAGCAGGAAAACUUGAACGAGCUUGGAAACACUUGUCAAAUGACAGGGAAAGUUUGACAGAAGCACAAGAUCAAGGUACAAGCUCUGUGCAACAUGAUGAAAAAAUGGAAGAACCCUUAGACAGGUAUGGCUUAACCAAAUGACUUGAGAAUCUAUAAAGGAAAUUAGCAGCAUAAUAUGAGACAUAUUGCAGUUAUAUAAGUACUAAAUCUUCAUUAGGCCAGGGGAAAAUUCUAGCUUUGAUAAAUGUACCUGAAAGGAGUAAUUUAGGGGAGCAGAAAUAGUACAGUGAGGAGAGAGCAUGUGCUUUCCACGUGGAGCCCUGUGUUCAUUCCCA